UACGUAGGCGGAUUUAUAAGUCAGUGGUGAAAUCCUACAGCUUAACUGUAGAACUGCCAUUGAUACUGUAGAUCUUGAGUACGGUUGAGGUGGGCGGAAUGUGUCAUGUAGCGGUGAAAUGCUUAGAUAUAACACAGAACACCAAUUGCGAAGGCAGCUCGCUAAACCGUAACUGACGCUGAGGCACGAAAGCGUGGGGAGCGAACAGGAUUAGAUACCCUGGUAGUCC
rnacentral:rRNA from 1 species